AUGUUGUAUGAAAGUAGAGAAGGUUAGCACUCCCAUUGAUAAAGAUGGAAAAGGUCCUAGUGGCCUUUAGAACAUAUAUAAAGUUAAGGCAUUGCCAUCUACUCUGUGGCAUCUAACUAUGAAAAUCA